AUUGUUUUUCAGGAUACUAAGAUGGCUAACUGAUGAAGAUGAAAUACUGAAAGAAACUAAUCAACAAAAGAUCCAGUAUUUGAUAGUUGAGAUGUCACCUGUUACUGAUAUCGAUACUAGUGGAAUUCACUCAUUAGAAGAUCUGUAUAAGUCACUCCAGAAAAGAAAUGUCGAGCUUGUUCUGGCAAAUCCGGGGACAAUGGUGAUCGACAAGCUUCAUGCAUCUGGUCUCGCCGAUAUGAUUGGUGAAGACAAGAUUUUCCUCACUGUGGCAGAUGCUGUUAUGACAUUUGCUCCAAAAAUGGAGCCUUGAAUAUAUUCACAAAAACACAUUAUAUUAACAUGUCUUUUGUUUUGAGUGAAAAGCAUAUAACAAAACAAAUUGUUUAACUGAAAAAAGUUCAUGCUCUCUAUAUGAUGGUUGAGGGGAAAUUUGUAAAUCUCCUUUUGGUUUAGGCAUUGUAAAGCCUUUAUUUAUUUAUUUUGGUUCCC